GGGGAAUAUUGCACAAUGGGCGCAAGCCUGAUGCAGCGACGCCGCGUGGGGGAUGACGGCCUUCGGGUUGUAAACUCCUUUCAACCAUGACGAAGCUUUCGGGUGACGGUAGUGGUAGAAGAAGCACCGGCUAACUACGUGCCAGCAGCCGCGGUAAUACGUAGGGUGCGAGCGUUGUCCGGAAUUACUGGGCGUAAAGAGCUCGUAGGUGGUUUGUCGCGUCGUCUGUGAAAUUCCGGGGCUUAACUCCGGGCGUGCAGGCGAUACUAGUAGACUUGAGGUCGGGAGAGGUUAGGGGUACUCCCAGGGUAGGGGUGAAAUCCUGUAAUCCUGGGAGGACCACCUGUGGCGAAGGCGUCUAACUGGAACGAACCUGACGGUGAGGGACGAAAGCUAGGGGCGCGAACC
rnacentral:rRNA from 1 species